rnacentral:tRNA from 2 species
AUUUAAAUAAUUUAAAAAUAAAAUAUUGAUUUGUGGAGUCAAAAAUAUGAAAUGUCAUUUUAAAUC